AGUGGCUCCGAGGACGGCUGGACUAACGCUUCGGAUUGCACCGGUUAAUACUGAAGCCCCUAUUACAACUGGUACGGUAUGACAUCUCCCCCCUGGCGUUAUGCGAGUUCUACUGUAAAACCAAGUGUUCCGCGGAGUCUGGUGACAGGCCCAUUGAGCUCCCUAUUGUUGUGCGGGACCCCAGCGGAGGAGUUACCAACACAACCCAAAUCGCGGCGGACGGAGCUGGGGGCCACGGGGACGCCGACCGCGAUAUC